rnacentral:rRNA from 1 species
UGGGGAAUAUUGCACAAUGGGCGCAAGCCUGAUGCAGCGACGCCGCGUGGGGGAUGACGGCCUUCGGGUUGUAAACUCCUUUCGCUAGGGACGAAGCGUAUUUGUGACGGUACCUGGAGAAGAAGCACCGGCUAACUACGUGCCAGCAGCCGCGGUAAUACGUAGGGUGCGAGCGUUGUCCGGAAUUACUGGGCGUAAAGAGCUCGUAGGUGGUUUGUCGCGUCGUUUGUGUAAGCCCGCAGCUUAACUGCGGGACUGCAGGCGAUACGGGCAUAACUUGAGUGCUGUAGGGGAGACUGGAAUUCCUGGUGUAGCGGUGGAAUGCGCAGAUAUCAGGAGGAACACCGAUGGCGAAGGCAGGUCUCUGGGCAGUAACUGACGCUGAGGAGCGAAAGCAUGGGUAGCGAACAGG